CUGGGUCUCAUUUUUUGUAGAGCUUGUCUUGAACUCCUGGUCCCAUUUUUUAUAGAGCUAGUCUUGAACUCUUCCUGCCAUGGCCUCCCAAAAUGCCAGAAUGAGCUAUGUGAGCCAUGCUUAUACCACUGGGCGUGAUGGUGGUUUGUUUUUUUUGUUUUUUUUUUUUUUUUGAUCACAGUGUGCUUCAAGGUAAAUACCACUUCAGCAUGAUACCCAUUUUUAUAAAGCUUAAAAAUAAAUAUGACAAAAUAAUAUAUUUUUAGAUAUGUGUAUAUUUAUACCUACACCUCCCCUCUCUAUACAUAGAUAUAUAUGUAGACUAUAAAGAAAAGCACAGGGGUUAUGAAUAUAACCUUCAGAAGAGUAGUCACCUCUGUGGUGAAGCAAGGGGACCGAAUCAGAGAAGAAAUUCCAGCAGUCCUGUAGCUUCGACAGGACUAGAAAUAUUUCAUUAUGCAUGAGGUGAUGGGUGUAUGGAUGUUAUUUAAUUGUAUGCUUCAUGACGUAGAUGCACAUCCCACUUUGAGAAUAUCUCCUAUAGAAACAAAGGACUUGUAUUUAAGAAUGUGUAAGAAAAAAGAGAAAAAGAAAUAUAAUUACUAUAUUGAGGUGGGAAAUUAAAGAAAGAAAAAUAAAAUUAAAAAGAAAAAGAAAUAAGCUUUCCUGUAUUAGGCUGACUUAUCCCAGAGGCAGCAACAGGCACAGCCCAGACCCAGGAAAAGUCUUGAUAAUACUAUCUAAGAAGCCAGGACACAAAGGAAUGUUUGUCUGGAGUCUGGAGACUCUCCCAGCACUCCCUUAACAUAGGGAGAAGAAAAACAAAUUUUCCUUUCUCUUAUGGUAUGAGUUUAUAGAUUCCUGUUCUCUGCAACUAGUGACUUCAAGUAUUGUUUUAUCUAAUCAGGGGAGUGAAGGUCAUGAGAAGCCUGAGCAGGCCUGAACUAUAGCCGUCUGGGCACCACAGCGAAGGUCAUGAGAGAAAUCAGUGCAAGGCUCUUGAGCAAAACCUAGCAGAAUGAAGGAACCACAGGAGAGACUUCUGGGAGGAGGCGCUGCCCAGCGAGCCUGGCACCAAGAGCAGGGCCUGGCGGGAGCUCUGCUCAGGCUUCAGCAUGGCCGUUUUGGUUGACUUCACUGGUUGAAACUGAAUUCCACCUCCAUGGUUUCCCCAAGAUAUGAGUAGGGGUCCAACCUCACUGGUGAGGGUCAGGAGCCAUAUCCUGGAUGUGGACACCCAGUCCUACUAGGAGCUGCUUCGAGAAGUUUUUCCCAGACAUGAAACUGCCUGAUGCCUUCAGUGAAGCAAGCAGGAGAGGCUCAAGUGAUCCUCCUAUAUCAGCCUCGUAUUUCAUGACACUGAAAUAGAGCAAUAAUUGAUGUAUUCAACUAUCCGCCUCUGCAUGAUGAUGUGAAAGUGCAAUUUUUCUCUUUGGCUUAAACCACGAAGAAAGGAAUUGGAUAAUCCACAUGAACAAAAGACAUGGAAAAUUUACCCACCAGAAUUUGCAGUAGAGAUUUUUUUUUAUUAGAAAUGACUUAUAGUUACGUUGUAGCUGGUAUCUGAUUAAGUGUAGUUCCCCCUUCCCCUUCUGGGAAAGAAUUAUGUUCUUUCCAACCCCUGCCACAUAGUUAUAUGUUCUAAAUCUUCCUUGAUGGUAUAUCUAUAUUUAUAUAGGUUUACAUAUGUUCUUGAUAAAGCUAUUAAAUAUAUAUAGAUAAAA